UGGCGCACGGGUGCGUAACGCGUAUGCAACCUACCUUGAUCAGGGGGAUAGCCCGAAGAAAUUCGGAUUAACACCGCAUAACAACAUGGGAUAGCAUUAUUCUAUGUUCAAAUAUUUAUAGGAUCAAGAUGGGCAUGCGUGUCAUUAGCUAGUUGGCGGGGUAACGGCCCACCAAGGCGACGAUGACUAGGGGAUCUGAGAGGAUGGCCCCCCACACUGGUACUGAGACACGGACCAGACUCCUACGGGAGGCAGCAGUAAGGAAUAUUGGUCAAUGGAGGGAACUCUGAACCAGCCAUGCCGCGUGCAGGAAGACGGCCCUCUGGGUUGUAAACUGCUUUUAUUCGGGAAUAAACCUAUUUACGUGUAAAUAGCUGAAUGUACCGAAGGAAUAAGGAUCGGCUAACUCCGUGCCAGCAGCCGCGGUAAUACGGAGGAUCCAAGCGUUAUCCGGAUUUAUUGGGUUUAAAGGGUGCGUAGGCGGCUUAUUAAGUCAGGGGUGAAAGACGGUGGCUCAACCAUCGCAGUGCCCUUGAUACUGAUGAGCUUGAAUGGACUAGAGGUAGGCGGAAUGUGACAAGUAGCGGUGAAAUGCAUAGAUAUGUCACAGAACACCGAUUGCGAAGGCAGCUUACUAUGGUUUAAUUGACGCUGAGGCACGAAAGCGUGGGG
rnacentral:rRNA from 1 species